GACGAACGCUGGCGGCGUGCUUAACACAUGCAAGUCGAACGGAAAGGCCCUGCGUUUGUGGGGUGCUCGAGUGGCGAACGGGUGAGUAACACGUGAGUAACCUGCCCUUGACUUUGGGAUAACUUCAGGAAACUGGGGCUAAUACCGGAUAGGAGCUCCUGCUGCAUGGUGGGGGUUGGAAAGUUUCGGCGGUUGGGGAUGGACUCGCGGCUGAUCAGCUUGUUGGUGGGGUAGUGGCUUACCAAGGCUGUGACGGGUAGCCGGCCUGAGAGGGUGACCGGCCACAAUAGGACUGAGAUACGGCGCAGACUCCUACGGGAGGCAGCAGUGGGGAAUAUUGCACAAUGGGCGGAAGCCUGAUGCAGCAACGCCGCGUGCGGGAUGACGGCCUUCGGGUUGUAAACCGCUUUCGCCUGUGACGAAGCGUGAGUGACGGUAAUGGGUAAAGAAGCACCGGCUAACUACGUG
rnacentral:rRNA from 1 species